CACGGAGACCCCUAGCGUUGUUCGGAAUUACUGGGCUUAAAGAGCGUGUAGGCGGAACGGAAAGUACCUUGUGAAAUCCCCCGGCUCAACCGGGGAAUGGCUUGGUAUACUAUCGUUCUUGAGGCAGGUAGGGGCUGCUGGAACCUUAGGUGGAGCGGUGAAAUGCGUAGAUAUCUAAGGGAACGCCUGUGGCGAAAGCGGGCAGCUGGACCUGUACUGACGCUGAGACGCGAAAGCGUAGGUAGCGAACGGGAUUAGAUACCCGCGUA
rnacentral:rRNA from 1 species